rnacentral:rRNA from 1 species
AAGGGGAGUAGAACAACAGGGAUUGCCUCAGUAACGGCGAGUGAAGCGGCAAUAGCUCAAAUUUGAAAGCUGGCUCACGCCCGCGUUGUAAUUUGUAGAGGAUGCUUCGGGUGCGGCACCGGUCUAAGUUCUUUGGAACAAGACGUCAGAGAGGGUGAGAAUCCCGUAUGUGACUGGCUGCUUGCGCCCGUGUGAAGCUCCUUCGACGAGUCGAGUUGUUUGGGAAUGCAGCUCUAAAUGGGUGGUGUACUUCAUCUAAAGCUAAAUAUUGGCCAGAGACCGAUAGCGCACAAGUAGAGUGAUCGAAAGAUGAAAAGCACUUUGGAAAGAGAGUUAAACAGUACGUGAAAUUGUUGAAAGGGAAGCGCUUGCAAUCAGACUUGCGCGGCGUCGAUCAGCCUGGGUUCUCCCUGGUGCACUCGGCGCCGCUCAGGCCAGCAUCAGUUUCGGCGGUUGGAUAAAGGCCUGGGGAACGUGGGUCGCCUCGGCGACCGUUAUAGCCCCAGGUGCAAUGCAGCCAGCUGGGACUGAGGACCGCGCUUCGGCUAGGAUGCUGGCGUAAUGGUUGUAAGCGACCCGUCUUGAAACACGGACCAAGGAGUCUAAUAGCUAUGCGAGUGUUUGGGUGCUAAAACCCAUGCGCGUAAUGAAAGUGAACGGAGGUGAGAACCCUUGAGGGUGCAUCAUCGACCGAUCCUGAUGUCUUCGGAUGGAUUUGAGUAAGAGCAUAGCUAUUGGGACCCGAAAGAUGAGUGAACUAUACUUGGAUAGGGUGAAGCCAAAGGAAACUUUGGUGGAGGCUCGCAGAGGUUCUGACGUGCAAAUCGAUCUUCAAAUCUGAGUAUAGGGGCGAAAGACUAAUCGAACCAUGAAGGCUACUUAGGUGGUUGAGAGGCCCGCGGGCCUAGUCGCUCCGGCGGCGAUAUCGCAAAACUGCGGGGACAGCUCGAGGGAUGUCAGGCUACCACAGCGCGGCUCGAAAGGGCGCGCCACGGUGACAGCGCCUGGCGUCGGAGCCGAUCCGCAACCUGCUGCCUACGGCGGCCCUACCCGGGGUUCGCUACGGCGGGAGGCUCAUCGACUAGAUGGCGGUAGGUGCAGUAUAUAUGCUGUGCUUAAGGGGUAGUCAGGCUGCGGCAGCGACGCUGCAGGCUACUCGCAAGUCGCU